rnacentral:rRNA from 1 species
AGAGUUUGAUCCUGGCUCAGGAUGAACGCUAGCGGCAGGCCUAACACAUGCAAGUCGAGGGGCAUCACGGAAAAGCUUGCUUUUCUGGUGGCGACCGGCGCACGGGUGCGUAACGCGUAUGCAACCUACCCAUUACAGGGGGAUAGCCCGGGGAAACUCGGAUUAAUACCCCAUAGUAUUAUUGAUUGGCAUCGAUUAAUAAUUAAAGAUUUAUUGGUAAUGGAUGGGCAUGCGUCUGAUUAGUUAGUUGGUGAGGUAACGGCUUACCAAGGCAGCGAUGGUUAGGGGCCCUGAGAGGGGGAUCCCCCACACUGGUACUGAGACACGGACCAGACUCCUACGGGAGGCAGCAGUGAGGAAUAUUGGACAAUGGGCGGGAGCCUGAUCCAGC